rnacentral:rRNA from 1 species
UGGGGAAUCUUCCGCAAUGGACGAAAGUCUGACGGAGCAACGCCGCGUGAGUGAAGACGGCCUUCGGGUUGUAAAGCUCUGUGAUCCGGGACGAAAGAGCCUGAGGUAAAUAGCCUAAUGAAGUUACGGUACCGGAAAAGCAAGCCACGGCUAACUACGUGCCAGCAGCCGCGGUAAUACGUAGGUGGCAAGCGUUGUCCGGAAUUAUUGGGCGUAAAGCGCGCGCAGGCGGCUUCCUAAGUCCAUCUUAAAAGUGCGGGGCUUAACCCCGAGAUGGGAUGGAAACUGGGAAGCUGGAGUAUCGGAGAGGAAAGUGGAAUUCCUAGUGUAGCGGUGAAAUGCGUAGAGAUUAGGAAGAACACCGGUGGCGAAGGCGACUUUCUGGACGAAAACUGACGCUGAGGCGCGAAAGCGUGGGGAGCAAACAGG